AGGACGAACGCUGGCGGCGUGCUUAACACAUGCAAGUGGAGCGACGAACCAGGGCUUGCCCUGGGGCAGAGCCGCGAACGGGUGAGUAACACGUGGGUUACCUACCCCGAUGACCGGGACAACCCGAGGAAACUCGGGCUAAUACCGGAUGUGGUCCUCGGACUAAAGGAAGCUUCGGCCUCCGCAUCGGGAUGGGCCCGCGGCGCAUUAGCUUGUUGGUGGGGUAACGGCCUACCAAGGCGACGACGGGUAGCCGGCCUGAGAGGGUGACCGGCCACACUGGGACUGAGACACGGCCCAGACUCCUACGGGAGGCAGCAGUGGGGAAUAUUGCGCAAUGGGCGGAAGCCUGACGCAGCGACGCCGCGUGGGGGAUGACGGCCUUCGGGUUGUAAACCUCUUUCAGCAGGGACGAAGCGAGAGUGACGGUACCUGCAGAGAAGCACCGGCCAACUACGUGCCAGCAGCCGC
rnacentral:rRNA from 1 species